rnacentral:scRNA from 1 species
UAAACUUUUUGGGGGGCCAGCGGGGGGCUUGCCCC